AAACGUCGAGUUUUUCCCAUUUGUCCGUUGACGUCUAGUUGUAUCCUUUCCCAUUCAUCCGUUGACGUCUGGUCACCUCUCCGUUGGUAUCGAUAAACGUUGAGUUUUUCAUAUUCGUCCGUUGACGUCUAGUUGUAUCCUUUCCCAGUUCAUCCGUUGAUGUCGGGUCACCUCUCCGUUGGUAUCGGUAAACGUCGAGUUUUUCCCAUUCGUCCGUUGACGUAUGGUUGUAUCUCUU
rnacentral:lncRNA from 1 species